rnacentral:lncRNA from 1 species
AAGACUGGCCCUGAGCUCAUAUCCAUGCCCAUCUUCCUCUACUUUAUACGUGGGAUGCCUGCCACAGCACGGCUUGAUGAGCGGUGCCAUGUCUGCACCCGGGAUCCAAACUGGCGAAUCCCGGGACCUCGGAAGUGGAACGUGCACACUUAACUGCUGCGCCACCGGGCCGGCCUGUGAAUGGUUCUCUUUUGCACCCACAGCUUCCGACCUAACGAGGGCGACAGCUCCUGCCCCGAGUAUAUUCUCGAAGACGGCCACACGGUCGGCUGCGUCCUGCAGGCGGAAGGGGACGGAAUCCUGAGCUUCUCCAUCCGGCGCGGAACGCGUCCUCUUCUGGCCAAGAGUCAAUGGAUCAGCUCCUACCUGAAGCCCGACCCCCCCGGAGACUUGACCUUCCGGUGGCACGAGGAGGCCGUGACCGUGACCUGCUCCGAGCUGCCCCACAAGAGCCUCCUCUACGAAAUCCAGUACAAGAGCACAUUCGACCCCGAGUGGCAGGUGAGUGGGGCCGGCGGCAUCCUCAAGGUGCUAGUUUUGGGGUCACUCAUGGGGUCGUAGGAUGCGGCCAGUCUCGGGUCACCAGGCUGGACGCUCAGGUUCGAAUCCUGUCACCAGAAUUCCUAAUUCCGUCUCCUCUGGGAAGCUCCGGUCGGUUCUUUCAGCGCCUUCAACUGAUUAGGCGAGGCCCACCCUCGUGGCAGAGCGACUCAAAGCCAACAGGUCAUAAAAGCGAAUCGCGUCCACCUGUCAGCUUCACAGCCACCGUCCAGACUGGUAUCCAGCAGAGGAGAUGCCCAAAGAAUUUGGCAAAGUCGACACGUAAAACUCACCGUUGGGCAAAGUUCCUGGGGGGCGAUGACACCCCGCACGCACCGCCCACUUUUCUUUCAAGGCCUUUAGAUACUUGGGGGCACUCCCUGGCUGCGAGUCAGUGAGCACGGUCUAAGGAAUCAAUUAAAAUGGCGUGGCGGUCAGUGAGCCGGGGCUCAGAGCCGUCUCCCAAUCCUUCGAGGCCUGCCGUGUAAACCGAGGACGAGGCUGCCCCUCCCUGGAAAGGCCCGAGGAAAGUCUACAAAGUCGGCUUGGAGGAAUCGUCCAAUAAACUCUGGGUCGUCUGUGUAGUAAAAGAGUGA